GUUAACGCUGGCGGCGUGCAUUAGGCAUGCAAGUAGAACGGUCCCGAUUUAUCGGGAGAGUUGCGAACGGCUGAGUAACGCGUAGGAAUCUACCCCCUAGUGUAGGAUACCCCCGAGAAAUCGGGGCUAAUACUGCAUGUUCCGAUUUAAUCGGAAAAGAGCUUAACUGCUCGCUAAGGGAGGAGCCUGCGUCCCAUCAGCUUGUUGGUAGGGUAAUGGCCUACCAAGGCUACGACGGGUACCCGUCCUGAGAGGGAAUACGGGCAGAAUGGCACUGAGAUACGGGCCAUACACCUACGGGUGGCAGCAACCGGGAAUAGUGCGCAAUGGACGCAAGUCUGACGCCGCGACGCCGCGUGUGGGAUGAAGGCUUUCGGGUCGUAAACCACUUUUGCCAAGGUCGAGAGGCUUUGGCGAAUAAGCACCCGCUAACUACGU
rnacentral:rRNA from 1 species